rnacentral:ncRNA from 1 species
UCAAUAGAGGUGCGGUUAUUAUCAGUAGCUUCGGAUAAUGCAGGGAAGCAGUCCGGGGUGAAAGGAAUCGCCGCCGAAGCGGAAAAGACAUCCCGGACUUUUCUGCUGGUACGACGGGAAAUACCCGGUGUACUGUCACGUCUUCGUGGAGCGCUAUUG